CUGUGCUAAGGGGAAAAACAAUACAGCUGUGCUAAGGGAACCAAAAGUGGAAGAAGGCAACAACAGCUUGCUGUGCAACGAAGGCAACAACAACUGGAACUACAAGGGUGUAGGCAUCAACAACUACUGGGGGAAGAAAGGGAACCAGAAGGGUGCUAAGGAAACCACAAUUGGAAUCACAAGGGCGCUAAGGCAACAACUGUUGGGGGAAGAGGGAACCACAAGGGUGCAGGCAACAACUUGGAAGGUAACAACAACUGUUGGGUGAAGAAGGGGAACCACAAUUGUAACCACAAGGGUGCUAAGGGAAGA
rnacentral:misc_RNA from 1 species